GACGAACGCUGGCGGCGUGCCUAAUACAUGCAAGUAGAACGCUGAAGGAGGAGCUUGCUUCUCUGGAUGAGUUGCGAACGGGUGAGUAACGCGUAGGUAACCUGCCUGGUAGUGGGGGAUAACUAUUGGAAACGAUAGCUAAUACCGCAUAAUAGCAGUUGUUGCAUGAUAACUGUUUGAAAGGUGCAAUUGCACCGCUACCAGAUGGACCUGCGUUGUAUUAGCUAGUUGGUGGGGUAACGGCUCACCAAGGCGACGAUACAUAGCCGACCUGAGAGGGUGAUCGGCCACACUGGGACUGAGACACGGCCCAGACGCCUACGGGAGGCAGCAGUAGGGAAUCUUCGGCAAUGGACGGAAGUCUGACCGAGCAACGCCGCGUGAGUGAAGAAGGUUUUCGGAUCGUAAAGAUCUGUUGUAAGAGAAGAACGAGUGUGAGAGUGGAAAGUUCACACUGUGACGGUAUCUUACCAGAAAGGGACGGCUAACUACGUG
rnacentral:rRNA from 1 species